AGCAGCCGCGGUAAUUCCAGCUCCAAUAGCGUAUAUUAAAGUUGUUGCAGUUAAAAAGCUCGUAGUUGAAUUUCGGGGUCAAUAGGCUGGUCGUGCCACAGGUAUGUACUGGUCUUACUGAUUCCUCCUUCCUGAUGAACCGUAAUGCCAUUAAUUUGGUGUUGCGGGGAAUCUGGACUGUUACUUUGAAAAAAUUAGAGUGUUUAAAGCAGGCUAACGCUUGAAUACAUUAGCAUGGAAUAAUGAAAUAGGACGAUCGAUCCUAUUUUGUUGGUUUCUAGGAUUGACGUAAUGAUUAAUAGGGAUAGUUGGGGGCAUUAGUAUUCAAUUGUCAGAGGUGAAAUUCUUGGAUUUAUUGAAGACUAACUACUGCGAAAGCAUUUGCCAAGGAUGUUUUCAUUAAUCAAGAACGAAAGUUAGGGGAUCGAAGACGAUCAGAUACCGUCGUAGUCUUAACCAUAAACUAUGCCGACUAGGGAUCGGAUGAUGUUAAUUUUUAAUGACUCAUUCGGCGUCCG
rnacentral:rRNA from 1 species